AAGACCCCCCUCCCUCUUCUGAAGCUCAGUGUGCUCUGAUUGGUCAGCUUCCCGGCAGCAACUACACGUUCUGCGUACAUCUUGCUUCCUCAGCAGCUGUAAACAAACGGUAGUGGCUGUUAUAAUGGCGUCGGUUCUGGCUCAACAGUUUGAGCGGGAGUCCAAUCUUGAAGAAGAAGAUGACAGACCCGGUCCACCUCACAAGCUACAAGCUGGAACAAGAAAACAAGUGUACCCACUGCCAGGCAAUCGGAAGGAGGGAAAUGGCGGAGAGACAUGGAGAGAAGUGUUGCAAAUAAAGUCGCUGGACAGUGCAAUCGACUUAACUAUAUUCAUAACUUGGAAUAAUUUUGUAAAAAAUAAAAAAUAAAGACUUAAACAAAAAAAAUCUGUGGACACUUAAGGAUCUAAGGAAUACAAACAAUAGAAGAAUGGACAGACAAGGACUUAACCUCAAAGGGAUGGCAGAAUCCACCUCAGGCCAGAACCAUACCUUGCCGAAACCAGCAAGAAACGGAUCAGGUGGGACCGCGGAUGGAGCCUUGUUGAACACCUUUUCGUGGCGAAGAAGAAAAAAAAGAAAAAAGAUAAGACAUUCAGAUACCUCCCCGCAAGCUCUCGGCAUCUUUAACGAGGACCAUAAAAAAUAACGAGCCAUCUUAACCUUGAGGCCGACCCAGGAAGUGAACACUGAGUAGAGUAUACUGAGCUGAUCAAGGUAACCCCCCACCGCGAGCGGGCCCUUACAUCCCUGCCUUUUUACCUCCGUGACCUGGAAACGCCUCAGCUCCCACCCC